GAACGUGGCUACGAAGAAAAACGAAGACCAAAACAAGCGUCUCAAGUUUCUUCAAUUAGCUGCACCUGUGUAACUCGGGCACAACGUUAAUUGUACUGAGGUGUAAAGGACACAGGCUGUGGUGCACACCUGCUGGUGAUCUGAUUAGAUGACAGCUUCCAUGUGAAAGAGUAAUAAGAUCACUGCACUGAAACUGGAGCCCAAGCCUGAAUCCUGGCCACCAUUGAGACACCAAAGUAUAUAUGUAUAUUCUUUAUUUAACCAGGCUUGGAGAAGGCCGCCCCCUGCCGCCACUGAGGACAACUACACUAAUACAGACAAGAGCGCCUCGACAGUUACACACUGAAGAGUUGGGAUUUUGCUGUAUGCAACUAGCUACCAUCUCCAACGGUUGUGCAAAAC